rnacentral:rRNA from 1 species
AUUGAACGCUGGCGGCAUGCCUUACACAUGCAAGUCGAACGGUAACGGGCCUUCGGGUGCCGACGAGUGGCGAACGGGUGAGUAAUACAUCGGAACGUGCCCGAUCGUGGGGGAUAACGAGGCGAAAGCUUUGCUAAUACCGCAUACGAUCUACGGAUGAAAGCGGGGGACCGCAAGGCCUUGCGCGGACGGAGCGGCCGAUGGCAGAUUAGGUAGUUGGUGGGAUAAAAGCUUACCAAGCCGACGAUCUGUAGCUGGUCUGAGAGGAUGAUCAGCCACACUGGGACUGAGACACGGCCCAGACUCCUACAGGAGGCAGCAGUGGGGAAUUUUGGACAAUGGGCGCAAGCCUGAUCCAGCCAUGCCGCGUGCAGGAUGAAGGCCUUCGGGUUGUAAACUGCUUUUGUACGGAACGAAAAGCCUUCUUUUAAUACAGGAGGGUCAUGACGGUACCGUAAGAAUAAGCACCGGCUAACUACGUG